CCGAGAGCCGCCGCAUCCGCCGCGGCACCGAGUUUUCAGCCGGGCAGAGCCAGACGUCAGCAGGAGGAGGGCGGAGAAAUCACAGAAUCUUCUGAGCUGGAAGAAACCCACAAGGAUCAUCGAGUCCAACUCUUAAGUGAGUGCAUCCUCAACACUUUAGCUACUCCUGCUUCUUUGCUUUGUUCUGUUAGUAAGUACUAAAUAUUUAAAAAGGACUUACAAGGUACCUUCUAUCAGCAGGUUCAGCUGUUGCUGUGCUGCACAUAAAUAAUUUAACUCCCUAUGGAAUAAAAAUGAAACCUGGAAUGGUACACUGGCAUAACCUUUAUAUUACACCUCUGUGCUGGCAGAUGGGAGACUACAGCAAGGGGCUGCAGAGGCUGCAGCAAGACUGCUCAGCAUGUAAGGACUUCUCUGUUUCCACCUCCACACUCUCCCUCUCACACCUUCUGCUCCAGAGACCCCAAAAAUGAGCUGCCUCCUUUCCCCUUCAGCUCUCCUCCUUCCCUGUUUGCUCCAUGCCCCUGGGAAGGCUGCUUGUCACUAUAGGAACAGCAGGAGUCGGCAGUCCUGCCACCUCCAGGUAAGUGAUGCUUUACCACAGCACCAACUGGCUGAUGGGCAGGAGUGUGCUGGAAUCUCCCUGUGCAGAGAAGGGAUAAGAAACACGUGAAUGGCCCAUACUGCAGCAGGAGCUGCUGAGACCACUGCCCUGAGAGCAUCUCUGUGGGAUGGGAUAGCUCAGCACACCAGGCACUCACACUCCGCAGUGAUGUCUGAGGGCUGGGGAGCAAAUACAGGAGGGGUCUUUGUAUGGUAUUGCCGUGGGGCUUUAUUGAUCACACACAGGAGGGAACCAGGGACAAAGAACCAAGAGCAGAGGAGGGUGCAGGGUUAUACACAGAACAGUGGGAGACGGGGCAUCAGAACUGAGGGCCAACGGGCUGAGGGAACAGGAGCAGUGCAGAGGUGGGACUGAGGGGUAACAACCAACUGGGAUCUAGGGGAGGAGCAACUAGGAGUGGGGACCAAUAGGGAAAUCAGGAGCAGGGAACAUUCUAGAACUGGAGUGGGGAAAAGGGAUGAUGUAACUGGGAACAUUAACAUAGACCUUCAGAGAAUUGUGGGAGAGCAUCUCCCUAACCACAAAAAGAGGUGUUUCUUCCCAGGGCAUCUGGACCACAGCAUCCCCUGCUGACUUCUGGGAUGCAACACUAUACAGAGAUUCAUCCCACAACCUUGGCACUGUUAGCACCAUGCUCCAACCAACUGACCUAAUCCAAGUGUUGCUCUUUAUGGUUUGGGCUUCAUAAUGAUUUUUGCAUUGAUGAACUAGAGGACUGAGAGGAGGAAAAGGAGCUGGUACACCUAUCUAUGCACAUCAGCAACCUGCCACAAAACAUACCAGCUCCCUGCAGUGUGCAGAGCUGUGUUGCUGACUGUGCCUGAGCAGAGACUGCUGUGCAGUGCUCACUUGCACACACUUGUAAUCAGUGAUUUGUCAGCUGGUGUGUUGGCCUGCAGCUGCACAAAGGUGUGUGGAGAUGGCCGAGUUACACCACACUACAGCAUGUACUGCUGUAACCACUUUAAAGGAAAAGGCGUGGUUUGGUGCCCACCGUUGUGGCUCCAUCAGUUUUGGAAAUGUUUACUCAUCUCACACAGAAGUACUAUGGAUGUGCUGACUCUUCAGUGAGGACUGCUGGAGGUAGAGGCUUGUUUGCUCUGUGGUCUCACUGAGGGAGAUACUAAAUUCUGCUGCUUCUACUUAAUUCAGGUCUGCCUUGUAAGAUGGAGAUACAUGACUGCAGUUCUACCUUUUGAAUAGUACAGUUCUUGCCAUGACAAUUCAGUGCUGAAAUUACUGGUUCCUUCCACCUAUUUCAUUAUUAAGUUGUGGGUAUGACACACAUCUGACAACUCAUUUGCCUGAGGAACAUUCUGCUCCAAAAGACCAGGAGGUGUUUACCACUGUUGUGGUGGUGAGGUGAUGUGCAGGAGACACCUGCCUGUGUAGUUCACAUGCUACAUUGCAGAAUUGCUCAAAUACCUGAAUGCCUGUAUGCACAAAACCCAGGAUAUACAUGUAUAGACCUUUUGAAUAGACAAGUAGAUGCCAUGGAUAAAAGUAUCGCUCACAGAAUACAGAUUAGGGAUUGGAAUUUAAAUUCCAAUACUUUGCUCCACGACUGAUGCUAAAAGGCAUUUCUUGUAUAGGCAGAGAAAAUUAAGAACCUAAGUAUUAUUCAGUGAAAGGGAAAAUAAGUAGACCCUAAGUGAUUACACCACGCUCUUAAAACCAUUCAAGUAUUCUCCAAAUUACAGUGUAAGAUAAAUUCUUCAGGAAGCCCAUAUAAUAAGUUAUUUGUAUAAUUGUGCAAGCCACCUUUAAGAUCAAACAAAAUGUGAUGAUGAAUUUUAAUCCAGCUUCUGAAUCAUGUGAAUUUUGACAACACAUGGAUGAUCCCUUUCAACACAGUCUGCAUUCCCAGCAAAGUGACUCGUGUGACAUGGCUCUCUUUUGCCCUGGGAUGGCUUCUAGUAUUGCAAUUUGAUGUAAUAGUUGCACACACCUUUCUUGAUUAGUGAAAGUAAAGUUUUGCAUUAGAUCUUUCUUCUGCUGAAAAGUAUUCCAAUAAAAUAUUUGAUAUCUCUCAUGAUGUAAAUAAGCACCUGAAAUUGCUGUAAAUUCAAACAAUUAGGUCUCAACCCAAGAAAGCACUUAAUGACAUGUAUGGUCCCAUUGAAUUUGGGGACACAUGCAAGGGCUUCAAUCAAAACAUGUGCUUAGGAGCUUUGCUGAAUUGAGACCUUACAAAAUGAUGCUAUGCAGAUCAGCAAUUAUUCAUAAAAUAUAUUUAAGUGAAUAAGGUAAUCUGCUUGUUAGCCAAAAAAGAAGCUCUACAUUCCUUCACAAUCAGUUAUACACAGGCAGAUCUCACAUUGCUAUUACCUCCUCAACCCUGAUCCUCCAGAUUUACACAGCUGUUGAUGAGACUGUAGCUGAUCCUGUACAACACUGAAACUUCUCAAAUGACCACAUUCUUGCCUGGAAACUGAACCAACAAAUUUGGUAGCUCAUUCUGCUAGAUGAGCUCCACUGAAACAAAUUCUUACCUCAGACUUAGAUUUAUCAGGUGAAAAAUGCAAAGAGGAUCUGCAUCAUUUAUUUUAAAGCCACAUGGAGUGAAGAAAAAGGCAUAUUAUGCAUUUCAUGCAUUAUUCUCUCCUUUGUGCUGUAUAUAAUUGGCAGAGCUUUUUAGUGAAAAAACUAUCUGGCCAAAUUCUCAGAGCCUCAUGCUCUGCAAAAGUCUGUCUUAAAUUAAUCUGUAUUAGGAGUAAUAUUCAAGUUGACUGCACUCAUAUGAAAAAUGUAUUUUAAAAGGUCUAGGAGAUACAAUCUGCUAUUUCUUGCCUGACUUUGUUCCCUGCUGUUGUUGGUCUCUCACGGGAUUUCUUGCAGAGUGGUUAAGUGAUCUAUACUGAGGUUUCAAAAGCAAAGAUAAUAGGAGUUCUAUUCAUGGGUUAAACACUUAGCUGCUUUAAUACAAGAUGUGUAGGAGCAGCCCCUAAUGACAUUUAAAUCUUGUUAUUGCUGUGCUUCAGUAUAGGAUAUACUUGGUUUUGUGGCUGCAAGAAGCAAUUGCCAGAGAUGAUUGUAAAUCCUGAGCAGCAAAUAAAUCCCAGCACAUGGAAAUGAUGCCUGAUUCUGCUCUUACAGCAGCACAUCCUUGGACUUCACCAUGCUGGCUCCUGACUUAGAGCAAUGCAAGUGACCCGGAGCGUCAGUGGCUUGUACCAUACCUACCCUGGGGUCUGGCUGCAGGGGCACCAGCUCUUAACUUCACAUUGGCCAAACAUUUCUAACCCUUCCUUUGCAAAACACUGCUGCCUAUUCCUUGGCUUUUGGACAUUCCUCUAAAAACAGACUUAUGUCCUCCAAGGUUUGCUAGUACUUGUCACCAUUCCCUGGUGGAGAUAAUUCUACUGAAAAUAUUUACAGGAAGACUCCUACAGUUCCUCAAGCAAAUUUGUCUGACAUAGCUCAGACUGUCCAUUUAUAAACUUUAAACUUGCCCAGCUGCCUCUGUCAGAAGCCUAUUAGGCAGCACUCUCACAAACUGUUCUCCUUCAGAGCAGUAAAGACUAUGUGAGAAUGGUGAUCUUGUCCUCUGACACAGCUGGACUGGAAAGGAAGUGGAAAUGAGUGAAAAGAGCAACCCCUCCCCGGGUUUCUGAGUAAUUGUGCAAAAGGGCUAAAAAACCACUUAAUCUUACUAUGAGGGAAUGAAAACGAGCACCCUGAACAAGGAGAAACACUUCUGGCUCUGCUGGUCUUUGUCUCACAUUGCCACUUGCUUCCUCUUCUGAACUAAUCUGCAAAAUAUUACUGUUGACCAAGCACAAGUGUGCUGUACUCUUGCUAGAAGCUGUACUCUUGCUAGAAGCCAAUGAGUAAAUCAUCAAAGUCCUUAACCCAGCACGAAGUAACAUUGGAAAUGGUAAAUUCUGUGACACAGCCUUUCUGUGCUGCGCUAUACAGGGGAAAAAAGGUAAAUAAAAUAUGUAUUGUAUGUCUUGGGAAUAUUAGUAGAUGUGCUCAUGGCCUUUAAAUAUAUAUGACUGUUGCAAAGAGAAAAGCAAUUAAUUGUUCAGAGUUCAGUUACAACAAGAAAAUAUUUAAAAAGAAAUUAACUUUCUAGGGAAGUUGUGAGGUUUAGUGAAUAAGCUGUCAGAAUGGCUUAAGUGCUUCUGAUUUUCCCUGAGGCCAAAAUGAGUUUUUGGGAUCCCUUCCCUCCCAAUAUGCUGCAAUACUAGAGAACAUUCUAGUAUUCUAGCAGGUGAACCAAAGGAGCAGGAGCCUACCAAUUCCACAUGGAAACACAGACGAAUUUGAUGUUUCCUAUCUGAAAAUCAGGAAGCUAGAAGAAGAAACACAUUAUUAAUAUACAGUAAUAUUUUAAAAAAAAAUAAUCUAGAGAAAAAAUUGCAAUAAGAAAUUAAGAAAUGUUUGCAAAGAGCAGACACAGGAAACCUGAAUUCAGCGUUUGUGAAAGGCAAGCACGUGCUGCAUUUCCCAUCCCAGCAGGCAGCGGCAGCAUGAGGUUGGGCAGUGCCUGAGCACCCCAGCAAAGAAUUGUGUGGGCAGCUCCUCUGUGUCCUUCAUUUAGAGGCUAAUUCAGCCUUUAAUUGACUGAGCUCAUCCCUUUGGCUGGCAGCAGUUAUUGUGCAGGUAGAUCCCUGGCUGUCCCUUGCACGUUGCAUGCUGCACUGCAGCUACGUGGCUGAGAUUGCUGCUCUCCUUCAGAAUUCAUGGUGAGCACAACCGUUACAGCAAACAGCUAAAUAUGGCUUUUGGCCGCCAAAUUUCAGUUUCAUUGCUGUCAGAACAUCACUUAUCAUGGCUGGGCUAUAAUUUUCAGGCUUGUAAAACCUCAAUUGUCAUGUUUGGAUUUUCUUUAACACUUACUAUAAAUGCACAAAUUUGAUUUGCGUAGAAUGGAAUGACUCUCAGUGGCUCAGGGAUUUGGCAAAAAGCUUCACAUAUUUCAUCAAAAUUCUGUUUGGCCUAGAGAGGCGUUACAAUUCUAGAUAAAACAUGUGCUUUUUUAAUACAGAAACAAUUUGUAAUGCAAUGUUCCAAAAUAAUUCUGUAUCAAAGAUGAACUGAAACAAAAGCAAUAUGAUAUUUGCCGCUCCACCAUGGGAAUUAAUUGAGAAAAUGGAAUUGGAAGAGUCUGAUUUGAAAUAUUUUGCAAAAUACAUUGUGGGUGAGUGCAGGGGAAGGAAGCAGUUCCAUCACCUUGAGGAGGAGGCCUAGAAGUGAGCACGUACAGUUGCUUGCAGUAACCCUUGGAGUUGUCUAGGAGCCUUAGGUAGUGUUAGGGAGCAGCAAUAUUUGUGUAAAUCAUAACUGGUAACAAAGCAAAUUACAGUAAGAGCUUUGUUAAAGAGAAAGGGGAGUCCUGAUGAACUCUGCUUCCUUUUAGUAGGACAAUUCGGAUUAUUUAAAGGCAUCUGAACAUUUGGAAAAAUCUAGGAAGAAUCUUAAAAUGCCAUAUUUCUAAGACAAAAGACAAAAUUUUACCCUUUUUGUGUCAUAUAACUUGGAUCUAUAUUUACAGUUGGUUGAAGCCUUCAACUAAGCAAAUACAUAUGUAUGAGGUCUUCUUUUUACACUUAAUUUUGGUGUUUUGGUAAAUGCAAACGAUGGAAGAAGUUGACAUGAAUAAAUUGGCACCAGUUUAGAAGUCACCUCAUUGCAAAGAGAGAGAUAUUUGGGACUUUUCAUCACCUUGCUACAGGGAAGGCUUCUGGUGUUAAAUCAGUCAGUCACGUUAUGUAUCACGAAUGUUUUCAACCCCAGGCUGAGGAACUACAAGCUCUUGAAGAAGCCAAGAAACAAAUGUAAUACUUGAGCAUGUUUACUGUAAAAUGAAGGGCUAUUUUAUCUCAAUCAAAUGAACCAACAUGUGAACUGCAAAUCUGAUACUGAAAUAAAUCCAAUUUACUCUUG